GUAGGUGUAGCUCAGUGGUAGAGUGCAUGACUAGUAUGUAUGAUAUCCUCGGUUCAAUCCACAGCUUCUCCC